AGAGAGAGACAUGCGCGCAUAUCAAUAAGCGGAGGAAAAGAAACUAACAAGGAUUCCCUUAGUAACGGCGAGUGAAGCGGGAAGAGCUCAAAUUUGAAAUCUUCAAGGUUUUACCUUGACGAAUUGUAGUUUAAAGAAGUGUUUUUCUGCUGAAGUUUUGGUAAAAGUUCUUUGGAAUAGGACGAUCAUAGAGGGUGAGAAUCCCGUAUUUGACCAUUAUUUUCAGCUUUGUGAUACACUUUCAAAGAGUCGGAUUGUUUGGGAAUGCAGUCCAAAAUGGGUGGUAAAUUUCAUCUAAAGCUAAAUAUUGGCGAGAGACCGAUAGCGAACAAGUACCGUGAGGGAAAGAUGAAAAAGAACUUUGAAAAGAGAGUUAAACAGUACGUGAAAUUGUCAAAAGGGAAGCGUUUGACACCAGUGUUGUUUUUCUCGAAAAUCAAUUAAAAAAUGGCUCGAUUUUGUAUUGCUGAGACCUUAAAAGCUCACUGUACAUUUUUCGUGUCUUUUUUAAUGCACUUUUCGUUUAACAAGUCAACAUCAGUUUCUUUUGUUGUAAAAGGGUCAUUGGAAGGUGGCUUUCUUUUCGGAGAAAGUGUUUAUAGCCUUUGGCCUCUGCAAUCGGAAGAGACUGAGGUCUGCAGCGUAGACUCUUCGGGGUUAGAUACAUUUGUGCUAAGUUAUAGCUUUUUAUAGACAACUUGUUGACUAUAAUUAGUCUUGUAGCUUACUCGCUUAUGCUAUUUUACCUACGCUUAGGAUGUUGAAGAUGUAGCACAUCAU
rnacentral:rRNA from 1 species